UACGUAGGGGUCAAGCGUUUUUCGGAUUUACUGGGCGUAAAGGGCGCGUAGGCGGCGCGUAAAGUCGGACAUGAAAUCAUUGGGCUUAACCCAAUGGCUGUGCCCGAUACUUGCGUGCUUAGAGUGCGGGAGAGGCAAUCGGAAUUCUCGGUGUAGUGGUGAAAUGCGUAGAUAUCGAGAGGAACUCCAGUGACGAAGGUGGGUUGCUGGACCGACACUGACGCUGAGGCGCGAAAGCUAGGGGAGCAAACGGG
rnacentral:rRNA from 1 species